rnacentral:rRNA from 2 species
CGGGAGGCAGCAGUGGGGAAUAUUGCACAAUGGGCGCAAGCCUGAUGCAGCCAUGCCGCGUGUAUGAAGAAGGCCUUCGGGUUGUAAAGUACUUUCAGCGGGGAGGAAGGUGUUGUGGUUAAUAACCACAGCAAUUGACGUUACCCGCAGAAGAAGCACCGGCUAACUCCGUGCCAGCAGCCGCGGUAAUACGGAGGGUGCAAGCGUUAAUCGGAAUUACUGGGCGUAAAGCGCACGCAGGCGG